UGGUGGCAUUGUAGAUGUUGUAGAUUACCCUCGUCUAAACUAAUAUUUCUUGUAUUGUAAUAUUGGAGUCUUAUCUUUCUUAGAAAAAGUGGAUUACCGCUCUUCUUGAAGAUUUUAAGGCAUUUUAGAGUUUGUGAAGUAUCCUACUCUGAUCGAAUAUUACCUUCUCAUCGAGUUAUUUCUUUCCUUCUAUUAGAAUUGUCAGAGGUCAAGGUAUAAAUAUGACUUGAAGUUUAAAGUCCAAGUUGGAUGCCAUUAUGAAUGUUCUUAUUACGUUAUCAGAGAAAAUUAUAGAGAUUAAAGGAAUCAUUGCAAGACUUCAUAAUGAUGGAACAUCUGAGAUGGCACAAUUGA
rnacentral:lncRNA from 1 species